rnacentral:rRNA from 1 species
CAGGGAAUCUUCCACAAUGGACGCAAGUCUGAUGGAGCAACGCCGCGUGAGUGAAGAAGGCUUUCGGGUCGUAAAACUCUGUUAUUGAAGAAGAACGUGUGUGACAGUAACUGGUCAUGCAGUGACGGUAUUCAAUCAGAAAGUCACGGCUAACUACGUGCCAGCAGCCGCGGUAAUACGUAGGUGGCAAGCGUUGUCCGGAUUUAUUGGGCGUAAAGCGAGUGCAGGCGGUCUUUUAAGUCUGAUGUGAAAGCCUUCGGCUUAACCGAAGAA